rnacentral:rRNA from 1 species
GAUGAACGCUGGCGGCGUGCCUAAUACAUGCAAGUCGAGCGAACGGACGAGAAGCUUGCUUCUCUGAUGUUAGCGGCGGACGGGUGAGUAACACGUGGAUAACCUACCUAUAAGACUGGGAUAACUUCGGGAAACCGUAGCUAAUACCGGAUAAUAUUUUGAACCGCAUGGUUCAAAAGUGAAAGACGGUCUUGCUGUCACUUAUAGAUGGAUCCGCGCUGCAUUAGCUAGUUGGUAAGGUAACGGCUUACCAAGGCAACGAUGCAUAGCCGACCUGAGAGGGUGAUCGGCCACACUGGAACUGAGACACGGUCCAGACUCCUACGGGAGGGAGCAGUAGGGAAUCUGCCGCAAUGGGCGAAAGCCUGACGGAGCAACGGCGCGUGAGUGAUGAAGGUCUUCGGAUCGUAAAACUCUGUUAUUAGGGAAGAACAUAUGUGUAAGUAACUGUGCACAUCUUGACGGUACCUAAUCAGAAAGCCACGGCUAACUACGUG